rnacentral:lncRNA from 1 species
GAGGAGAAGAAGGAGUUCCAUACAAAGAACCUGUUGGACCCAAUCAAGUGCGGCACCAGCUUCAACGUUGCAAUUGACAAAGUUCGUCUUUGGAGGGAUUAUCUCAAGGUCAUCGCACACCCCAAAUUCAACUCACUCUACAAACCUGCUGGGUACAGUGAAGUUUCAUUAGAGUUCAGCAAAAGAACCCGUGCAGUGGCAACCGAAAUAUUGAAUGGAAUAUCAGAGAGUUUGGGAUUGGAGGCCGAUUACAUUACCAACGCCAUGAACUGGGAUCGCGGCUGCCAAAUUCUUGCAGCGAACUACUACCCGGCUUGCCCACAGCCUGAC